GACGUAGGGGGCGAGCGUUGUCCGGAUUUAUUGGGCGUAAAGCGUGCGUAGGCUGCUGCGCAAGUCGGGUGUGAAACCCCGGGGCUCAACCCCGGAACUGCAUCCGAUACUGCGUGGCUAGAGGUAGGUAGGGGAGAUCGGAAUUCCUGGUGUAGCGGUGAAAUGCGCAGAUAUCAGGAGGAACACCGGUGGCGAAGGCGGAUCUCUGGGCCUUACCUGACGCUCAGGCACGAAAGCUAGGGGAGCGAACAGG
rnacentral:rRNA from 1 species